rnacentral:rRNA from 1 species
GACGAACGCUGGCGGCGUGCUUAACACAUGCAAGUCGAACGGAAAGGCCCUGCUUGCAGGGUACUCGAGUGGCGAACGGGUGAGUAACACGUGGGUGAUCUGCCCUGCACUUCGGGAUAAGCCUGGGAAACUGGGUCUAAUACCGGAUAGGAGCCAUUUUUAGUGUGAUGGUUGGAAAGUUUUUUCGGUGUAGGAUGAGCUCGCGGCCUAUCAGCUUGUUGGUGGGGUAAUGGCCUACCAAGGCGGCGACGGGUAGCCGGCCUGAGAGGUUGGACGGCCACAUUGGGACUGAGAUACGGCCCAGACUCCUACGGGAGGCAGCAGUGGGGAAUAUUGCACAAUGGGCGCAAGCCUGAUGCAGCGACGCCGCGUGGGGGAUGACGGCCUUCGGGUUGUAAACUCCUUUCGCUAGGGACGAAGCUUUUUGUGACGGUACCUAGAUAAGAAGCACCGGCUAACUACGUG